GGCCAGCGCGCGUCCUCGAGCGGACGCCCCGGAGGGUCGGGCGACAGGACUGGCGAGUGGCCAGUGGCCGAGGACGGGGCGGGGCCGGAGCGCGGCGCGGGGCGGAACGCUUGGCGGCGCGUUCUCUGGCCGAGAACCUGAGGAGGCGAAGCGCGUUCGUCGCCUGGCGCUAAGGGCUUGUUGAGAAGGUCACCAUUAACAGGCACAUGGACCUUGAACUCUCCGGAGCACCGAAAACACCUGCAAGCUCUGUCCACUGAAGAGGCCCAGAAGCAAUGUCACCCAGAGGAAAUGAACACUCUAGUGCCAAGAUCUUGGUUUCAAAGUAUUGUUCACCACUGAGAGGAAAGACCAUUCCCUGGAGAAAUGGCUGAUUUCAGAUCAGAGACAGAGCAUGUGUAAGGUAAGCCUGGAACAUCUUAUAUCAGAAAGCAAAGAAAGUGUGCAGAGGAUGGUAAGUACAGGCCAAAGGGAAAAGUAGCAAGUGUGAAGGGCCAAAUAUGGGACAAUUGGGGAAUUUAGAAAAUUGAAAACAAAUAAAUCGAAUUUUUGAAAGUCUAUGAUUCCAUAGAGACACUAAAGAAGAGGGCUUUUUCUUCAUGAAAGAAUGUGAGCUAAUAAAUGGAGAGGAAUAAUACAAUUAGGAAAUCAUUAUUUUGCAGUCUUCAGUGUGGCUCAGACAAGGAUCACCAAUGUGUGCUGAAACUACUGAGUGAAAGUGUGCUGGGGAAUGUAAUAUUCACAUAGUACCAAAAUGUUAUCCAGAGAUUACCUAUUGAUUAUUAAGAAAAAGCAUACCUUUAAAAUGAAAAAAAAAAAAAGUUGGCAGACGUCAUCUUAACCAGGUAACCAAAGUUAGCACAAAACUAGCAGACUGCGUCUCCUGAA